AUGGGUAGGUCGGAACAAACAAAUGUCAUAAGCUGGAACUGCCGGGGACUCGGGAAUGGCUUGGCAGUUCGUGGGCUCUUGGACCUCAAGAGGGCGGAGGAUCCCGAUGUUCUUUUCUUAUGUGAGACUAAAUUGUAUGAGAAGGAAAUGGAGCAAUAUAGGUGGAAGCUAGGGCUAGUCAAUAUGUGUGUGAGAAACCUGGAUGGCAGAAGUAGAGGCUUUGGCCAUUUUGUGGAGGAGGGGAGUUAA
rnacentral:rRNA from 1 species